GACGAACGCUGGCGGCGCGCCUAACACAUGCAAGUCGAACGGAGAUUACAGGCGGAAGUUUUCGGAUGGAAGCUUGUAAACUUAGUGGCGGACGGGUGAGUAACACGUGAGCAACCUGCCUAUCAGAGGGGGAUAACGAUUGGAAACGAUCGCUAAUACCGCAUGACAUAGCGGAAUCGCAUGGUUCUGCUAUCAAAGAUUUUAUCGCUGAUAGAUGGGCUCGCGUCCGAUUAGAUAGUUGGUGGGGUAACGGCCUACCAAGUCGACGAUCGGUAGCCGGACUGAGAGGUCGAACGGCCACAUUGGGACUGAGACACGGCCCAGACUCCUACGGGAGGCAGCAGUGGGGGAUAUUGCACAAUGGGGGGAAACCCUGAUGCAGCGACGCCGCGUGAGGGAAGACGGGUCCUCUAGAUUGUAAACCUCUGUCUUCGGGGGACAAACGAGACGGUACCCGAGGAGGAAGCCAACGGCUAACUACGUG
rnacentral:rRNA from 1 species